rnacentral:rRNA from 1 species
GAUGAACGCUGGCGGCGUGCCUAAUACAUGCAAGUCGAACGCUGAAGGAGGAGCUUGCUCUUCUGGAUGAGUUGCGAACGGGUGAGUAACGCGUAGGUAACCUGCCUUGUAGCGGGGGAUAACUAUUGGAAACGAUAGCUAAUACCGCAUGACAACAGUUAUUGCAUGAUAACUGUUUAAAAGGGGCAACUGCUCCACUACCAGAUGGACCUGCGUUGUAUUAGCUAGUUGGUGAGGUAACGGCUCACCAAGGCGACGAUACAUAGCCGACCUGAGAGGGUGAGCGGCCACACUGGGAGGGAGACACGGCCCAGACUCCUACGGGAGGCAGCAGUAGGGAAUCGUCGGCAAUGGACGGAAGUCUGACCGAGCAACGCCGAGUGAGUGAAGAAGGUUUUCGGAUCGGAAAGCUCGGUUGUAAGAGAAGAACGAGUGUGAGAGUGGAAAGUUCACACUGUGACGGUAGCUGACCAGAAAGCGACGGCUAACUACGUG